rnacentral:rRNA from 1 species
GACGAACGCUGGCGGCGUGCUUAACACAUGUAAGUCGAGCGGUAAGGCCCUUUCGGGGGUACACGAGCGGCGAACGGGUGAGUAACACGUGGGUGACCUGCCCUCAGCUCUGGGAUAAGCCCGGGAAACUGGGUCUAAUACUGGAUAUGACUCCAUGACGCAUGUUGUGGGGUGGAAAGCCUUGUGCGGCUGAGGAUGGGCCCGCGGCCUAUCAGCUUGUUGGUGGGGUGAUGGCCUACCAAGGCGACGACGGGUAGCCGGCCUGAGAGGGCGACCGGCCACACUGGGACUGAGACACGGCCCAGACUCCUACGGGAGGCAGCAGUGGGGAAUCUUGCGCAAUGGGCGAAAGCCUGACGCAGCGACGCCGCGUGAGGGAUGACGGCCUCGG